GUGUAUUUAGUUGCAGCAAAUACUAAUUUAGGUGCUCGAUAGUACCUAGAACAGAUGUAAGAUUAUAAGAGUAGCACCAAAUAUAUUUCAGUUCAAGCAAAUAUAAAAAAAUUAUCAAUAUCAGUACCAAAUAUUACUUCGAAGAUUAAAUGGCAGCUUCAGUUGGACCAAUAGUUGCAGGAGGAGCAGAAAGCAUUAACUAUAAUAAUAUUGUUUUAAAUAUAUCAGUACCAAUAUUGAUUCUUUUUCAUUAAAAACCCAGGCUUAUGUUUUAAAUCUAUACAUCCUUAGAGCUCUCGAUAGCAACAGCUUUUAGGAUUCGUAAAUCUACCUGUGCAGUAGGUGUAAGAAAAAAUACUUUCACUGCAUGUUUGUUACGGAAAAUCUCAUUUUAUAUUCAAACCCAUGUGACAGUAGUAAAGAACCUUGAUGCUGCACUUGAGUUUAGAUGGACAACAAUGGACUUUGAGGAGUUAUAUACAAUGCACGGAAUGAAAAAGAAAAAAGAAAACAACAUAGAAAAGAAGACUUGCAUAAGUUAAUCUACUCUACUCUAAAAAAUGACAUUUGGUUUAGAUAUCCCAAAAACUCAAACUGCAGUUCCAGAUAGAUCCAUGAUUUAAUUAAACACAAAGUAUUUGCAACUAUCGGAGAUAGCACCAUCAUAUAUAUAAAUAUGCAUAUAUAUAUUUGCCCUAUAACACUGCAAAAGAUGGAAGUUCCAAGGCAAGCAUAUGGAUUAAAACAAAUAAGUUGUACGUUAAAUACUUGUUUGCAAGACUCUGUGGCCAGCACAGGAAAUGGGAAUGAGCUUAGACUCUUGCAAAUCCUCUGUGAUUUUCCUGAAGCAUGUAUUCUUUCUUCAUUUCUUCCAAGACAGCAUCAUUGUUGCUGCCAAAAAAAAGAGAAACUAAGUUCUUCCAAAAUCUCAUUUUAUAUUCAAAAAAUUAUUUAGCUGUUGAAUAAUACAAAUAAUAAAGAAAAUACACUGAGUUAAUGGAAGCAGCAAUGAAAGCAGCAUUGAAGUAAACCCUACAAGUUUAGCUAGUGAAAGACGAGUUCCUACUUCAAUUAGAGAGUGUGAAAGAAAUGAAGAAUAAACCCUACAAGUUUGAGGAUUCGACAGUAUUGAAGUACUACCAUUCAAACCCAAAAUUUAAGAUCAUCAUGUGCCGAGUUAAUGGUAUUCACCUUAUGUUCUGUCAGUGUUCUGAAACUACACAGUACACAUUAAACGUACACACAGAUAUGACACCAGUUUGAAUACCAAAUUUCGCAGAAAGAUUUACAAAAAUUAACUCUUUAUGUCAAUUCGAACACCAAAUAGUAGGACCCUAUUUGUUUCUCUCUUACCCUGUUUCUUGUAUUCUACCUCCCCGCCAAGAUUAACAUGAAGCUCUUACUAAUUAGAACACAAAAUCAACUCUUUAUUGCAUUCAGCAUACCAAACUAAUACUAAUACACAAAUAUCAGUAAAUACCCUAAAUCUUACCUUGAACUGUUUUCUUCAACCCCAAAGCCAACUUCUGAAACCCUUGCCUUUCUUAAUCCAAUUUUCUAUAGAAGAGAAAUCAAUGGCCAGUGGGAAGGGUGAAUUUUAGGAAUUUCAAAUUGGGGAAGAAGGGGUUAUUUUCGGAUGUUAAAUUGGGGAAAAAAGGGUGAUAAAACUUUAGGGAUUUGGGACUAAGGAAAAGAGGGGAAAUGAACUGGGGAGAGUAGUAG
rnacentral:lncRNA from 1 species